CGACGAGGUUGAUAGGUUCGAGGUGGAAGUGCAGCAAUGCAUGCAGCUGACGAAUACUAAUCGGUCGAGGGCUUAACCAAA
rnacentral:rRNA from 1 species